CCAACUCGUCACUCCGCCUACCGGUGUAUGUGUGACGAACGAUGUGAUCACAACAAACGCACCACUGACGUCGGCUGUCUCUGUAUCUCGGUCAAGGUUUAUAGAGAGUGAGUCCACAUUGCUGGCCAACCAUAUUCCCACGGCUAAUCCCAUGCACGGCAAAACUGUGCGUGUCAUCGUGAUAAGAUAGGAAUGAUGAGGGCACACCUGUUUCCAGUGGAAAAAAGGCAUCCAACCGCCUCUCGAGUGAGGAUUAUAUUUUGUGCAACAAAGCAGAAGAAGACGGCGAAGCCUUCAAGAGAUGAGUCGCUCGAGUGCAUCACUUAAUCGUGCAAAUGCCGAUAACCUUUCCCGCAUGUGCCUCAUCGAACAGGCAGUCCACGAGGAAUUGGCCGAGAUCGAGCUUGGAGAUGGACCGCGAAUGGCCGGGCGCUUUGUCGUAGGCGGUGGCAAACUCGGCCUGAGGUUCGUCGGCAAUGUGCGGUGGCAGCACGGCCCGGUACUCCAACCCGCAGCCCUUCACCGUCUCCAGCAUGCGGCGGUGCUCCCCGUUAAUGUUGACAAAGAUGGCCGGCACCUUGUCCGGGUCCAUGAACAGGAACGACGACAGACAGACGGAAAACUUCUUCAGCGAAGCUUCCUUCAUAGCGGUGAUGAUGUUCGACAUGCCGUCCGACAUUGCCGUGGUUGGUUUGAGAUCGUUGCGCGUGCCCAGCACCACACAGACCAACUCCUGACCGGCGACCGCUUUCUUCACGUCCUCCACGUUCGUUACAUCACCCUGUACCAGCUCGACCUUUGCUUUGAAAUCUUCCGGAACGGUCGCCUCGUUGCGCACCAGUAAACGAACGGACAGCCCUACAAUGAAACCAAUUGAAGAUGCAAAUUAGCUUCGAUUCUGCAGCUCCCCCCUGGCCUUCCAACUCAGCCGCUUCUUACCCUUUUUCAGUGCGUACCGAACCGCACAUUGGCCGGACAUGCCGGUGCCGCCGAAAAAGACAAUCUUCUGCAUCUUUUGUACAACAGUAGAACCGAGAGGGGAGACUAGAGCAAUCGUAUCCAAAAUUACAAUCACGCCUGUAGUACUUCGCGGUGUCGAGACUGAAGAAAUAUUGCUUUUUAUUAUCAGCCGGAUAACGAGGGGGCAGUAGAAUGCGAAUGCAAACAAGGCUCUAGCGGCAGGUCGACUCAUCGAAGAACGCGUUCAUGGCACUGACUUGACAUUUGAGCGUUUGGUUCCCAAAGCACCUGUCAAAACGGUUUGCAACCGGCAUUUUACUAUUUCCGAGUAUCUGCUCAGACCGUUUGGUAGUGAAAGUACAGUCGAAAUUGCACCGAGCAACAUGUCGGAGUUGGAACAAUUGGAAGAGGCCUACUCACAGCUGGUUGAGUUUGUGAAGGAACUGGAAAAUGAACCUGAUGACGAUGCACCUGCGGCAACCGAACCAUCCAACGGCGAGCCGAUCCCUUCCAAGGCCGUGGAAGUGGUAAUGCAGGCAACUAACAAGGUCGUGAAGUCAUUGUGUAUGUUUCACGAGUUUGAAAUGGUGCUUCAAGAUAAAAUAGCUUCCUUGCAUGUCAUCUCGAACGAGCUGAUGCUUACCGGCUUGCAUCUGCAGGAGCUGAACAAUGAGAUAGCGGAAACACGCAAAAAGGCCAACAAAGACAACUACGACAAGUUGUUCCAGAGCUGCGAACCGUUCGUAGCUUCGAUAGAGGAGCUUGAAACCGUUGCUGAAUAAAGAUGAAUUUAGUGUUGUA